UGGGGAAUUUUGGACAAUGGGCGAAAGCCUGAUCCAGCAAUGCCGCGUGUGUGAAGAAGGCCUUCGGGUUGUAAAGCACUUUUGUCCGGAAAGAAAUCCUUGGCUCUAAUACAGUCGGGGGAUGACGGUACCGGAAGAAUAAGCACCGGCUAACUACGUGCCAGCAGCCGCGGUAAUACGUAGGGUGCAAGCGUUAAUCGGAAUUACUGGGCGUAAAGCGUGCGCAGGCGGUUUGCUAAGACCGAUGUGAAAUCCCCGGGCUCAACCUGGGAACUGCAUUGGUGACUGGCAGGCUAGAGUAUGGCAGAGGGGGGUAGAAUUCCACGUGUAGCAGUGAAAUGCGUAGAGAUGUGGAGGAAUACCGAUGGCGAAGGCAGCCCCCUGGGCCAAUACUGACGCUCAUGCACGAAAGCGUGGGGGAGCAAACAGGAUUCAGAUACCCUGGUAGUCCACGCCCUAAACGAUGUCAACUAGUUGUUGGGGAUUCAUUUCCUUAGUAACGUAGCUAACGCGUGAAGUUGACCGCCUGGGGAGUAC
rnacentral:rRNA from 1 species